ACCUGCACCCGGGAGGAAAGGCGAGGCUCUGCAUCUAGAUUUACCUCGUUCUCUUUUGUCUCCGCUUUUUUUUCACAUUUCCUUGCGACCCUGGCCCUUGAGCGACAAAAAGGGGAAGCCAAGGCUGGCCCGAGGAACGGAGAGGGCACAUGGCCUAGCCACAAGUGGAGCUUCUGCUCCGCCCGAAGGGAUGCGCUGGAGCGGCCUCUUCCUUCUGCCACGGUCUUUCUUUGCCAACUAGUAGGUGGAGACUGGACCUCAGAAGAGGGAGUGGGUGCCCCGAGAACUCACAGCUAGCGGACAGUGGAAAGGGCAGGAGCCGGACCAAGGUGAGGACAGUGGAACUGAAGGCCGCUGGUUACCUCUCCUGCCCUCCGCUGGCCACAGUGGAGAAGACAGCCCCUCCCUCCUGCUCUGACCUGACAGUGUUCAUCCAUCGCCCUGUAUUAGCGAAGAACAACAUCAAGCUGGCUAGCAAGGAACUGUAUACAGGGUCCAGCUGGGUAUCACACUGGAUCUCACCCAAAGCUUAGAUGUGAUCCAGCUCAGUAUCACAAAGCAGAACGAAAAGGAUGUGUUUGGGCUGAGAGGCCAUACAUUGGCUCCGGCAUGACGGGUGACUUCUUCCGAGUCUGGCUUCUGCAGCACACAGGGCUUCGCCAGCACCCAGCUCCUGCAGCAUGGGCAGCUCCUGUGACAGCAGGCGCCCGCAGCCUGCAAAGCGUCUCCAGUGCCGCCGCCUCAGUGAACCUCAACCAGCGGCACCUAGCAGCUUUCUCUGCCACCCUCUUCAGGUAGUUCUGUAGCAGCGCGUUUCUCAUGAGACACUUCCCUGUGAGCAGCUUUUUCUACCCUUGAGGAUGGAUUUCCAGCAAAUUCUGCCCAUGUGGUACCACAGCCACUUCUCUGCCAUUCAGUGAAACUGCCGUUGUGCCCUCUUCAAGGUCUGGAUCUAAGCCCAGGGACCAGGAAACCUCUUGCUUGAGUGCUGGAACUCAGGCCAGAAGGCACUCCAGAGCCGCGAGCCGCCUCGCACAGCCCGCGCGUUUCUUCUGCUCCCCCGGAAGAGGGCACGGUCUCCUUCCUGGCCGCUCUCUGCCGGCCGUACCGCACGACAGCUGGCAGCACCGUCAGCCCCUGCUCGGGAGCUCGGAAGAUGCUCUAGCUCCGCGGCCAGUGCAGCGAACCCACCCAACCCUGGUGCAGGAGCCAUUGCAGCAAAUUGACAGGGAGUCCUCUGGGCCGGAAGUGGCCCUGGCCCUGCGCCGUAUGCUCUCUAGGACUGCAGGAGGCUCGGCAUCUCGGUGAUAGACCCAGGAAGUCAGUGGCUGGGCGGGGCGGGCUGUGAGGACUGAGGUCUGUAGCGAAGGUCCAGCCCCGUGGUCUUCGCUUCGUUCGGCAACGAACGCCCAGCGAAGGGACAUCCCUGUAGAAGUUCUGCUGCGUGUGGUCCAGCCGUCCCCACUCCUCCCGGGAGAGGUACAAGGCCACAUCCUCGAAAGUCACUGGCAUCUGAAACAAUGUGAAACAUCCACUCUCCAGGACAUGACGUGGACACGGUGGAGGGACACCAUGGCAUGAGAUGUGUGGUGAGACCCCGGACUCCCAACCCACUGUGUCGAGUGAGGCCUGCCACUUCCAUCUGAUCGGGAAGCAGGUGAGCCACCCAAGGCCUUCUGGGGAGUUGAGAAAGAACAAAGACCAAGAGGUAUUUUCAGGGAUCACAGUUAAGACUUAGGAUGUCCAUGCAGCCCCCAGCCUCAGCUGAGACCUCGGAGGACGGUUCCCAACGGCUACCAGCGAGAGGCCCUGUGUCUCUAAUUCCUGCUGCUUCUCCUCCAGCUUUGGCCCAGGCCUGACCAUGGGCCUUGAGCCUGGACAAUUCCAGCAACACUAGCAAGAGCCCCAGGCUUCAGGCUUGGCUGCAAGUGGGGCCAGCGGGGUCCUGGCUUUCACACAGAACCAGCAGAUGCAGGAAGGGCUGAGUACCAUGCAGGGGCCGGGGAAGGGCCACUCACCUGGGACCAGGCAGUGAGGAGCGCUGCAGCCAUCUGCCGGUCUCUGGUCCUCCCCUCUCGGGAAAGCACGGGGAUCCGGGGGGAGGGGAGGGCUGUGGGAGGAGAGAGGUCCUCACGGUGAUCAGCUCAUCCUGCUGGACCUGCUGCUACUUCAGCUGCCUCAAACUCCACCCCUGGCCCGACCCAAGGACAGGGUCGGAUGGCUCUGACGCUGCCAGGGGGCUGUGGGCCAUGGGGGGAUAGCGUCCCCUGCUGGCAUAGAGACCCUCAGCCCCACCUGGACCUGGGCCAAACCUCCACCUCCCCACAGCUGCCUCCCUGGGAAAGCGCCUCUUCCCCGUCCCUCUCCUACCUCCGCCAGGCAGGAAGAGAGCUUUCUCCUUAGAGCCGUGACUUAGGGGUGCCCAGCCCCAGGCACCUUGAGCCCCAUCCUCCUGCGAUGCCCCCUCGGAGUGUGGCUCUUCGGGCUCCAUCUUAAUGUGCAGUGACUCCUGAGUGUCCCCUGAAGGUACCGCCUCCCCCAGCUUAGAAGGCAUUUCCUGAUGAGGAUGUCCACGAUCUGGAACCUAGAAAGGACAGCCCCAUCAGCACCCAGAUGAGUGGGAGAGACACCCAGGGCCACAUGGCAGUGCGCUCCGGCAGCGUCGGAAACCAACAUGCAAGACGCAGCUUGAAGGACUGUCCUUGCUGCAUUCAUCCAGCUCACCCCAGCAAGGACGGGCGGCAAGAGGAGGAAUAUUCACCAAGCCGCCUCCACAGUGCCGGUGGGCGUGGUGCCCAAGGGCAGCUACCCCUUCUCAGCUCCAGCCUCACACUGACCUCAGCAGUGUAGACUGCUGUCUAUUAGUGUAUGAAGAAACCAAGUGUAGUGGCUUGAAUAGUGUCCUCUAAGAAUCCGUGUCCUCCCUGGACCUCAGAAUGGGACCUUAUUGGGGAAAAGGGUCUUUAUACAGGAGAGGACACAGAGACACAGAGAAGGAAGCAGAGACUGGAGGGAUGCCCACACCAAGGACACCAGGAGCCCCCAAGGAGUUGGAAGAGGUCUCAGUGCUUUUGCAAACCUUCUCUUCUACAACCCUCUCCUGCAAUACAUCUGGGAGGUGGGAUCAUCGUUCACACAUUACAGAGGAGGCAGUGAUGGUUUUCAAAUGAAAAGUGACUUCGCCAAGGACACAUGCAGCUGGGCUGUGGAGGGCCUAGUCUGUCUCCUUUUUCCAUCCCUCGUUUAUUUCCAGAGCUGUUCCUACACCUGAAAAGCGCCACUCCCCCUGCACACCCUGGCAGACAACCGGAUUCGAUGGCCCUGGCAGCCCGAACGCCAACAAACACCCAGUGUCUUUCUGAAGCGACCAUAAGCCAUUCGAGGAAACACGCACGGGGUCCUGCUUGUCCUGGCCUUGUCCCCAAUGCCCAGGGCAGUGAGAGCAGCUCUACACGGAGGCCAGUCCCUGAGGCUUCCUCGGUGGCCUCAGACCUCGGAGUACACACGUGCAGUCCUUACCUCCCAAAGAUAAACCUAACCUCUCACUCUGCUCUUCACCUACUUCAGACUGCUGUCCCAUAUAUGGUCACCAGAGACAUAUGAGAACCACUAGAGAUAGCCCCAAACUGAAAACUGCCCACGGGCUACCCAUAGCAGAAUGAAUAACUGAUGUAAUGAGGAAAAUCAUUCAGCAACGAGAGGGAAAGAACGCUCGAUGGCAUGGAGUCCCAGCUGUAGUCCCAGCUCCUUGGUAGACCGAGAUGGGAGGAUCACUUUAACCCAGGAGUUUGAGUCCAGCCUGGGAGAUAUGGCAAGACCU
ensembl:lncRNA ZNF213-AS1 ZNF213 antisense RNA 1 (head to head)